UUCUUUGGAAGGAAUGAUGCUAAAGCUGAAACUCCAGUACUUUGGCCACCUCAUGCGAAGAGUUGACUCAUUGGAAAAGACUUUGAUGCUGGGAGGGAUUGGGGGCAGGAGAAGAAGGGGACAACAGAGGAUGAGAUGGCUGAAUGGCAUCACUGACUCAAUGGAUGCGAGUCUGAGUGAACUCCGGGAGUUGGUGAUGGACAGGGAGGCCUGGCGUGCUGCGAUUCAUGGGGUCGCAAAGAGUCGGACACGACUGAGCGACUGGACUGACUGACUGACUGAAAGCUACAACCAUAACCAGCUCACUCUCACUGAAUUAAAACUCCUGGUCAUAAAUGGCUGUGGGAGCCACCUUCCUGGAAGAAUUUGUUUCUUCGUGUUUUCCUGUUCUGCCUUCGGUGGUGUCAGCUUUAUUCUCAGAAAUCAUGCUGGUUCCCCAACCUGCAUACCCAUGGUGCAAAUUUCACAUCGUCACACUACCCAACCGGAGACCAAUGGAGAACCUAUUUCUGGUCUCCAACUACCAAAGCUGUAAGGCCAAGGGAGAUUUACCUAGUAUUGUGAGAAAAAGAAAAUAAACCUGACAACUUUCAUCUCUUCUCUAAGAAACUGAAGUCUAUCUACAAGAAAACCGGGGCUUCCUUUAUUUUUAGGAAGGAAAACAAAGAGUUAAACUUAACAACACAUUGAAGAUCAAGGACUGUACCCCACCAGGCUCCUCUGUCCAUGGAAGUCUCCAGGCAAGAAUUCUGAAGUGGGUUGCCAUUUCCUUCUCCAGAGAAUCUUCCCAACCCAGGGAUGGAACCUGGGUCUCCAGCAUUGCAGUAGAUUCUUUACCAUCUGAGCCACCAGCAGACAGUAAGAACUAUAGCCCAGGCACUGUGGUGGACCUUGGACUCUAGUCACUGGAUUCCUCUCAGAGACCAGACCAUUGGAUAAGAGGAACAGUCCAAAAGCAGGUAGGGAAGAUUUCCAUUCUAAACUCCCUGGUACACCACAGUCUGACUCUGUGUUGAGGCCCCGUGUGAACAACAUCUCCGCUCCACCACCACCCAUCACCCCCUGUGCAUGGUGGUGGUUGUCUAGUCACCAAGCCAUGUCCGAUAUCCCUGGACAAUACCAAAGCUGGGUAGAAACGAUCACCCUGGAUGCUGAAAUCUGAGAUUUCCA
ensembl:lncRNA